AGAGAGAGACAUGCGCGCAUAUCAAUAAGCGGAGGAAAGGAAACUAACAAGGAUUCCCUUAGUAACGGCGAGUGAAGCGGGAAGAGCUCAAAUUUGAAAUCUUCAAGGUUCUACCUUGACGAAUUGUAGUUUAUAGAAGUGUUUUCUGUUAGUGGAGUGGCAAAGGUUCUUUGGAAUAGGACAUCAUAGAGGGUGAGAAUCCCGUAUUUGGUCAUUCCUCCUAGCGUUGUGAUACACUUUCAACGAGUCGGAUUGUUUGGGAAUGCAGUCCAAAAUGGGUGGUAAAUUUCAUCUAAAGCUAAAUAUUGGCGAGAGACCGAUAGCGAACAAGUACCGUGAGGGAAAGAUGAAAAGAACUUUGAAAAGAGAGUUAAACAGUACGUGAAAUUGUCAAAAGGGAAGCGUUUGACACCAGUGUUGUUUUUCCGAAAAUCAAUUACGAAUGUUUUAUUUUUGAGGAGUUAUGACUUCAUCGGCUUGCUCCUUUCUUUAUGAAACUUUCUUAAUGCACUUUUCGGUUAACAAGUCAACAUCAAUUUCUUUUGUUGUAAAAGGGUAUGAGGAAGGUGGCUUUCUUUUCGGAGAAAGUGUUUAUAGCCUUGUGCCUCUGCAAUCGGAGAGAUUGAGGUCUGCAGCGUAGAUCCUUCGGGGUUAGAUACGUUUGUGCUAAGUUAUAGGCUUUUCAUAGACAACUUGUUGACUAUGUUUAGUCUUGUAGCUUACUCGCUUAUGCUAUUUUACCUACGCUUAGGAUGUUGAUAGUCACAGCGUGUAC
rnacentral:rRNA from 1 species